AUUGAACGCUGGCGGCAGGCCUAACACAUGCAAGUCGAACGAGUGGCGGACGGGUGAGCAAUGUCUGGGAAACUGCCUGAUGGAGGGGGAUAACUACUGGAAACGGUAGCUAAUACCGCACACCAUCAGAUGUGCCAAGAUGGGAUUAGCUUGUUGGUGGUGUAACGGCUAACAAAGGCGCAGCGCCCUUGCUGGUCUGCGAGGAUGACCAGCCACACUGGAACUGAGACACGGUCCAGACUCCUACGGGAGGCAGCAGUGGGGAAUAUGGCACAAUGGGCGCAAGCCUGAUGCAGCCAUGCCGCGUGUAUGAAGAAGGCCUUCGGGUUGUAAAGUACUUUCAGCGGGGAGGCGUUACCCGCAGAAGAAGCACCGGCUAACUCCGUGCCAGCAGCCGCGGUAAUUC
rnacentral:rRNA from 1 species